rnacentral:rRNA from 1 species
UACGGAGGGUGCAAGCGUUAUCCGGAUUUACUGGGUUUAAAGGGUGCGUAGGUGGGUAGGAAAGUCAGUGGUGAAAUCUUCGAGCUUAACUCGGAAACUGCCGUUGAUACUAUCUGUCUUGAAUACCGUGGAGGUGAGCGGAAUAUGUCAUGUAGAGGUGAAAUUCGUAGAUAUUCGCAAGAACACCAGUGGCGAAGGCGGUGCUCUGGGCCGGAACUGACGCUGAGGAGCGAAAGCGUGGGGAGCAAACAGG